CCUGUACUCCCUCUGUUCCAAAUUACUUGUCGCAGAAAUGGAUGUAUCUAGAACUAAAAUACAUCUAGAUACAUCCAUUUCUGCGACGAGUAAUUCGGAACGGAGGGAGUACAUA
rfam:Triticum aestivum genome assembly, contig: Triticum_aestivum_CS42_TGACv1_scaffold_624182_7DS